CUCUCUUGUGUUUGUGAAUAGGAUGAUUGGGUUUUAACACCAUUGAGAUGUUCCACACUUUAAAACCUUGAAUUUGGACACAUUAUCCAUCUGAUG
rnacentral:snoRNA from 1 species